ACUUUAUGGGGAAGCCAAUAAGAGUGAAUAAGGUGUCUCAAGAUAAAAAGAGCUUGGAUGUUGGAGCUAACCUUUUUGUGGGAAACCUCGAUCCUGAUGUGGAUGAGAAACUUUUGUAUGAUACUUUCAGUGCAUUUGGAGUCAUUGUUACAAAUCCCAAG